AUUUCAACUUAAAGGAUCUUUGUCAAGUUGAUCCUAAAUCAGUUAGUGCUCAUUGGAAGAUACUUUUACCAACCAGUGAUGUGUUACAACCAAGGAAGUAUCAGGCAACUCUAAUGACAUGCUUGCUUUUUGAUCCCAUCUUAAAGCUAAUGAUCUUCCAGAGUCCAAUAGUUGUGUCUUAUGACUGACUGUUCCUACCCCAUCACAUCUGCAGACACGGAUUGCAACUGCCUCAACUUUAGCUGCCAUCUUGGAUGGUCCUUCAUCCAUUUUUCUGCAAGUUGCAGAAUACAAAGAAUCCACAAAACAUGGACAGUUUACUUCUCUUUCAAGCUCCCUCGGUGAAAUUCUAAUGGA